rnacentral:rRNA from 1 species
UGGCGGACGGGUAAGUAACGCGUGGAAAACCUGCCGUAUACUGGGGGAUAACACUUAGAAAUAGGUGCUAAUACCGCAUAAGCGCACAGCUUCGCAUGAAGCGGUGUGAAAAACUCUGGUGGUAUACGAUGGUUCCGCGUCUGAUUAGCUAGUUGGUGGGGUAAUGGCCUACCAAGGCAACGAUCAGUAGCCGGCCUGAGAGGGUGAACGGCCACAUUGGGACUGAGACACGGCCCAAACUCCUACGGAAGGCAGCAG